GCAAUAUUUUUACAGCGAUUUAAUAAUUCAUCUGUUGGAUUUAAUUCUUUUGGACAAACUAAAUGGAAGUUCAUACCCAUAAUGGCAGCACCUUGCAUUAAUGCAUUUGCAACGUUAUUACGACCAUCUCCAACAUAUGUAAAGUUAAUAUCUGCAUAAUCUUUUUUUAAGACUUCUUUUGCUGUUAAGAAAUCAGCAAGAACUUGAGUAGGAUGAUCUUCAUCAGUUAAACCAUUCCACACUGGUACGCCUGAAUAC
rnacentral:sRNA from 1 species